rnacentral:lncRNA from 1 species
UAGAUAUAUGAUGUAUGUAGAGAUUUUUGUUACAGUUAACUACAGUGCGGGGCAAGGCGGUUCGUAACAUUCGAAGUAUAAAUUAUAAAACCAACCAAAAUUUUUACCAAAAUUUUGCUUGUGCUAGUAUCAUCUGACCUGUAUUGGAUUUAUUUAGUACAUAGAAUCGAUCAGUGAUAGAAAUAUAGAAUCGAUUAGUGAUCGAUCGAAGUGGUCUAGAUGGGUAGAUGAGUUUAAAGAGUCAACAAAACAUCGUUAAAAGCCCUUUUACAAAAAAAAAAAAAAAGUCGUUAAAUGUACCUUUCACGUAAGUAUGCAUAAUGCACGUAGUCUUGUGUUGUGUCAUUGUCCUGUUGUCUUAUUGUCUUUUUGCUUAUACGUACGCCAAAGGCAAAGACAAUUCACAAUUUGAAUGAAACAUUAUAAAAACCAAUACAUGUCUAAUUUAGACCACUCAAAAACAAUCAUGACAAUCAAUAGUAGCUAAUAGAUAUUUUAUGUUUUUUGAAAUAGUAUUUUAGAGAAAAAUAUUAUUUUAGAGAGACAAUUCGACAUCAU